rnacentral:rRNA from 1 species
AGCGAACGCUGGCGGCAGGCCUAACACAUGCAAGUCGAACGAACCUUUCGGGGUUAGUGGCGGACGGGUGAGUAACACGUGGGAACGUGCCUUUAGGUUCGGAAUAACUCAGGGAAACUUGUGCUAAUACCGAAUGUGCCCUUCGGGGGAAAGAUUUAUCGCCUUUAGAGCGGCCCGCGUCUGAUUAGCUAGUUGGUUGAGGUAAUGGCUCACCAAGGCGACGAUCAGUAGCUGGUCUGAGAGGAUGAUCAGCCACAUUGGGACUGAGACACGGCCCAAACUCCUACGGGAGGCAGCAGUGUGGAAUCUUGCGCAAUGGGCGAAAGCCUGACGCAGCCAUGCCGCGUGAAUGAUGAAGGUCUUAGGAUUGUAAAAUUCUUUCACCGGGGACGAUAAUGACGGUACCCGGAGAAGAAGCCCCGGCUAACUUCGUG